AUUGAACGCUGGCGGCAGGCCUAACACAUGCAAGUCGAGCGGAUGAAGGGAGCUUGCUCCUGGAUUCAGCGGCGGACGGGUGAGUAAUGCCUAGGAAUCUGCCUGGUAGUGGGGGUUACGGUCCGGAAAGGGCGGUAAUAACGGAUUACGCCUUAGGGAGAAAGGGGGGGGUCUUUGGACCCCAAGGCAUUCGGUUAGGCUAGGUCGGAUUAGCUAGUUGGUGGGGUAAAGGCCUACCAAGGCGACGAUCCGUAACUGGUCUGAGAGGAUGAUCAGUCACACUGGAACUGAGACACGGUCCAGACUCCUACGGGAGGCAGCAGUGGGGAAUAUUGGACAAUGGGCGAAAGCCUGAUCCAGCCAUGCCGCGUGUGUGAAGAAGGUCUUCGGAUUGUAAAGCACUUUAAGUUGGGAGGAAGGGCAGUAAGUUAAUACCUUGCUGUUUUGACGUUACCAACAGAAUAAGCACCGGCUAACUUCGUG
rnacentral:rRNA from 1 species